CGCGCGCAAACAAUGCUCCCGCAACCUCUGCAUCUUGCUGCAAGGACGCGUGGCGCCAUCUCUUGCACCUGGUUCAAAAUAACAUCGUAAACAAAAGUCAAAAUGGACGCCUCCACUUUCUAUGGCGGGACGCGAGUUCAAGAUCAUGCAUCGAGACGACAAAAAGUUGACGGUGAAACAGCAGAAGACGUCCUUAAAAAAUAGCCAAUGGAGAUGUUUCCGAUGGAGACAUUUCGGACGACGAAAAGGAGGAAGAAAAUGAAGAGAACACAAAAUUACGUUUUGUUUGAAAAACCAUUAGCCUUUUACUUAAGAUCCUGCCGCCCGGUUCUUGGCCGAUCCCCCUUUGUGGGUGUGCGCCAAAUUAUCAAGGAUCAUCAUCAUCAUCAUCAUCAUCAUCAUCAUCAGCUGAGCGUCAACAAUCCCCAGAAAAAGCGUGGGCGACCAAGCAGUGUGAACCCCCAGGUGAUGAAAAGGAAGGCACCCAAUGCGUCACUCCUGCCAGUGAGCACUCUUCGCUAUGACGGCAUCCAGCACUGGCCACAGCAAAUGAACAUACCCAACGCACAACGCUGCAGGAGGGAUGGAUGCUCAUCCAAGAGCCGCGUCCGCUGCAGGAAGUGUGACAUUUUUCUUUGCCUGACAUCGCAGAAUGACUGCUUCUACCUCUUUCACACUAAAUAGACUUUUUCUGGUAACUUCUCUCAACAUUACUUUGAAAGAAGUUAUUUUGAAUUUAAAUGGAAAGCGUGUUUUCUUCUUUGUCGCUUUUCACUAAUAUUACUGCUUUGAGGCGCAAUGUCCACAAAUGUGGACGCUGAGCAAAAAUUGAACCAAUAAACAUAUUUUGCAUUUGU